CCUAAAGCAAAGUCUGCAGAUUCGCGCAUGUUUUCCAUUUUCGAAAAUGACGAAGAACCCAUGUCCAAUAAAUGCGGAGGAACCUUUUUCCAUCAAACGGCAGCGAUUCGGCGCACUUCUCCUGAUGGGGUGCUCCGCUAUUCUCCAGAUGCAGUUGGACAGCUGACCCUCUGGCCAAGGAGAGCCGUUGGUCCUCCACAGCCCCCAAGGUGACACGAAGGGUCAGAAACGGAGGGGUUCAUUCUGGAAUCUGACCACUAGAUGUCGCUAAUAUUCCCAUUUCUACACACUGGACCUUUAACUCAUUAGCCAUCAGCACUUGUACUGUAUAGAAGAGAAUGGCCCUAUCAAAAACAAAAAAGUCUCUCCUUUGCAUUAAAAAAAAAAUCUGCACUACUAUGGCAACGUGAAACCAACAUGUGUGCACACAAAUCCACAAACACAACUAAAAAUGUAGAUGUAUGUGAGCCAGGCCAGUACUUGGCAGUAUAACUUUGUAAUGAAAAACCACUGAAGAACAUCAGGCGCUUGAACAUGAAGGCAUUCUUCAAGUACAAACAAACAAGACGUCCAUGGUGGAGGCAGCACACCUGCUUAUUGCUGAAAAGAUGUUGGUAAACUCAGUAGAGUCAGCAGCACAGGGAACACAAUAAACAUGUG